GAUGAACGCUGGCGGCGUGCCUAAUACAUGCAAGUCGAGCGAACGGACGAGGAGCUUGCUCCUUUGACGUUAGCGGCGGACGGGUGAGUAACACGUGGAUAACCUACCUAUAAGACUGGGAUAACUUCGGGAAACCGGAGCUAAUACCGGAUAAUAUAUUGAACCGCAUGGUUCAAUAGUGAAAGACGGUUUUGCUGUCACUUAUAGAUGGAUCCGCGCCGCAUUAGCUAGUUGGUAAGGUAACGGCUUACCAAGGCAACGAUGCGUAGCCGACCUGAGAGGGUGAUCGGCCACACUGGAACUGAGACACGUUCCAGACUCCUACGGGAGGCAGCAGUAGGGAAUCUUCCGCAAUGGGCGAAAGCCUGACGGAGCAACGCCGCGUGAGUGAUGAAGGUCUUCGGAUCGUAAAACUCUGUUAUUAGGGAAGAACAAAUGUGUAAGUAACUAUGCACGUCUUGACGGUACCUAAUCAGAAAGCCACGGCUAACUACGUG
rnacentral:rRNA from 1 species